rnacentral:rRNA from 1 species
GACGAACGCUGGCGGCGUGCUUAACACAUGCAAGUCGAACGAGACGAUUGGAAGCUUGCUUUUAAAAGUCGAGUGGCAAACGGGUGAGUAACGCGUAGACAACCUGCCUUUGAGAUGGGGACAACAGUUCGAAAGGACUGCUAAUACCGCAUGUCGUAUAUUUUCCACAUGGAAGAUAUAUUAAAGAUGGCCUCUCUUUAUAAGCUAUCGCCCAAAGAUGGGUCUGCCUCUGAUUACCUGGUUGGUGGGGUAACGGCCUACCAAGGCGACGAUCAGUAGCCGGCCUGAGAGGACGAACGGCCACAUUGGGACUGAGACACGGCCCAGACUCCUACGGGAGGCAGCAGUGGGGAAUCUUCCACAAUGGACGAAAGUCUGAUGGAGCAACGCCGCGUGAGUGAAGAAGGGUUUCGGCUCGUAAAGCUCUGUUGUCGGGGACGAAUGUGCAGUAUUUGAAUAAAGUACUGUAAUGACGGUACCUGACGAGGAAGCCACGGCUAACUACGUGCCAGCAGCCGCGGUAA